AAAAGGGUAACGCUCGACUGCUGUCGCGGCAGCUGCUGCUGCUGGUGCGGCGAGCGAAUUGUGUAGCAUACUUUUUGGCGCGCGCGUUUCAGGCUGAGUUUAUGUGAAAUGUGACAGACGCAGAGACAGUCGAGAAAGUUGCACAAAAAAACAGACAGUUGCACAAAAAAACAGACACUUACAAAGGCAAAGCAGACGUUGCGAUUUACCGUUGUUGUGGCGCCAGAAUGGCUGUGUGUGCGUGUGUGUGUGUCCUGCUGCUUGGCCCCAGGAGACAUUUAACAUAAUAAAAACGAACGUGUGCGGCAUUCGUUGCUGUUUUUGCAACUACAAAUGUAUAUGUGCGUGUGUUUAUGUUGGUUUUGUUUAAUGCUAAUAACACACAGAUAGAACACGCAUACACACAAACACGGGCACACUUAUACUUAGUAGAAACAAUAUUGCAAAUGUGUGCGGCAAAGCAGUUGGCAAAAGUGUCGUAAAUCGUUUAGACGGCAAACGUGGCAAGCGCUCAGGACACGGACACAGGACAAACGCACACAGGCACACACACACACACACAGCUGCGCUGCCAGGACAAAAGCCAGCGUGGGAAGAAACAUAUAUAUUUUUAUAUAUUAUAAAGCAACGCCACAGGAUGCUGCCUGCUGAUAGCGACUGCUCCUUUGCUUAGUUCAUGCAAAGCAAACUUAACAAAUGAAAGACUGAUAAUAAUAAACAAGGAAAUGUGAAGGCUUUGAUCACAGAUGGAAUGCUAAGAGGCUGGCUUUUAAAUAGAUAUUUUCAUCCAAGAACUGCUGCUGCACUUGGAAAUCUCUUGCUGUCUGAUGGAUGGACUCUUCAACACAUUGUUAUUUAUUUCU